rnacentral:rRNA from 1 species
AGGUUCCAGGAAAAGCCACUAAGCUUCAGCUACACACGACCGUACCGCAAACCGACACUGGUGCGCGAGAUGAGUAUUCUAAGGCGCUUGAGAGAACUCAGGAGAAGGAACUCGGCAAAUUGACACCGUAACUUCGGAAGAAGGUGUGCCCUAGUAGUGUGAAGUGAACAACGGAGCAUGAAUGGGUUGCAAAAAAUCGGUGGCUGCGACUGUUUAUUAAAAACACAGCACUCUGCAAACACGAAAGUGGACGUAUAGGGUGUGACGCCUGCCCGGUGCUGGAAGAUUAAAUGAUGGGGUGCAAGCUCUUGAUUGAAGUCCCAGUAAACGGCGGCCGUAACUAUAACGGUCCUAAGGUAGCGAAAUUCCUUGUCGGGUAAGUUCCGACCUGCACGAAUGGCGUAACGAUGGCCACACUGUCUCCUCCUGAGACUCAGCGAAGUUGAAAUGUUUGUGAUGAUGCAAUCUCCCCGCGGAAAGACGGAAAGACCCCAUGAACCUUUACUGUAGCUUUGUAUUGGACUUUGAACAGAUCUGUGUAGGAUAGGUGGGAGGCUUUGAAGCAGGGUCGCUAGAUCUUGUGGAGCCAACGUUGAAUACCACCCUGGUGUGUUUGAGGUUCUAACCUAGGUCCAUUAUCUGGAUCGGGGACAGUGCAUGGUAGGCAGUUUGACUGGGGCGGUCUCCUCCCAAAGCGUAACGGAGGAGUUCGAAGGUACGCUAGUUACGGUCGGACAUCGUGACGAUAGUGCAAUGGCAUAAGCGUGCUUAACUGCGAGACUGACAAGUCGAGCAGAUGCGAAAGCAGGACAUAGUGAUCCGGUGGUUCUGUAUGGAAGGGCCAUCGCUCAACGGAUAAAAGGUACUCUGGGGAUAACAGGCUGAUACCGCCCAAGAGUUCAUAUCGACGGCGGUGUUUGGCACCUCGAUGUCGGCUCAUCUCAUCCUGGGGCUGUAGCCGGUCCCAAGGGUAUGGCUGUUCGCCAUUUAAAGAGGUACGUGAGCUGGGUUUAAAACGUCGUGAGACAGUUUGGUCCCUAUCUUCCGUGGGCGCUGCAGAUUUGAGGAAGCCUGCUCCUAGUACGAGAGGACCGGAGUGGACACACCUCUGGUGUAUCGGUUGUCACGCCAGUGGCAUUGCCGAGUAGCUAAGUGUGGAAGAGAUAACCGCUGAAAGCAUCUAAGCGGGAAACUCGUUUCAAGAUGAGAUCUGCCGGGGCCUUGAGCCCCCUGAAGAGUCGUUCAAGACCAGGACGUUGAUAGGUCAGGUGUGGAAGCGCAGUAAUGCGUUAAGCUAACUGAUACUAAUUGCUCGUGCGGCUUGACCCC